rnacentral:tmRNA from 1 species
GGGGAUGAAAGGAUUUCGACGGGGACCCUGAACCAAGAUAAGCGAGCGGUGGCGGAGCACCACCUUAAAAGCUUCAACUUUUAAAAAUAGACGACGACACUAACGUUGCUCUCGCUGCCUGAUUAGGCAGCUGCUCCCUCGGGGAAUACUGCGGCCCUGAACGGAGUAUCAUGCAGCAGUAAAUGUGAACGGGCCAGUGCUCUGUAACCCGUCACAGACAACGGAGCUACCGAUGUUCUGAGCCCUUCGUUAGGCGCAUUACAGAGGGAAUCCCAGUAUAACGAAUACGCUCGUAGAAAGUUUUGGGAAUAGAUUUUCGGACGCGGUUUCGAUUACCGCCAUCUCCACCA